rnacentral:lncRNA from 1 species
AAAAGCAUCAUGGUUUGUAUCUUGAGAAUAAGUUCAUAUCUAAAGAUCAAAAUGGGAUAUGAAAAAAGUUCAUAUCUUGAAAAGUUCAUAUGUAGAGUGAUUCAUAACUCAAGGUAUCAUUGUAUUUGUACAAAAAGAGUGUGUGUGCAAGGAAAGGCUGAAAAUGUUUUAGUAAUAAAAUUAUUUCCUGUUACAAGAACUAAAUAAUUAAGAAAGUAUCACUUGAAUUACAUUAUUAAAAGUUAUGAAGGACAAUUUCUAUUAGUAGUAAUCCCAUGAGCAUACCAUGAAGCAGUAAAAAUUGCUAAAAAUUGAUGUUUGUGAGUAGCCAGAUAUGUUACUUCAGCUAUAACUCUAAACUAGAACUUUGUAAUUUGUUGGUUUCUGCAACCAACAAACUACAAGUUCCAGGAAACAUGGUUCUACUUUUUAAAUUCAUGAAUAAAGAUAUUAAAUUUGAAACAUAUAGGUUAUUGUCUUUGCUGGGAUUAAUUUCAUUAACUUUAGAUAGUCAUAUCCAUUCUUAAUAAUAAACAGGUAAUUGCAAGGCUGGCUUUAACGUUUUUGGCCUUUCUUUGAGGCCAUUAUCAAUGUACACACUCUUUUUGCACAAAUAUAGUGGUAUCUCGACUUAUAAACUGCUCUACAUACAAACUUUUUUUAUAUUUGAUUUUGGUCUCUAGAUAUGAACAUAUUCUUUAAAUAUGAACCUAAGUACGAACUAUGAUGUCCUUAAGACUUCUAUAUCUAAAUUAAUAAAGAUCAUUAAUACAUAUAGAUAUUUCUCAACUUACAACAGGGUUCAAUUUCAAAUCCUGGGGCUGUAAGUUUUAAUGGUCAGAAAUCUAAAAUACCCAAAAUUUUAGGAUUUCUCAUUUCUAAUAUUUACUAGGACACUAUAUAUUAUCUUAAUAAGCAUAAAGAACAUAAAACUACAAGAAUCAGAC